CUUUCCUUGACGACAACUGGCGCACGGGUGAGUAACGCGUAUCCAACCUUCCCAUGACCACGGGAUAACCCGUUGAAAGACGGCCUAAUACCGUAUGACGUCGUUUGCCGACAUCGAAAGACGACCAAAGGUUUGGCGGUGAUGGAUGGGGAUGCGUCUGAUUAGCUUGUUGGCGGGGUAACGGCCCACCAAGGCUACGAUCAGUAGGGGUUCUGAGAGGAAGGUCCCCCACAUUGGAACUGAGACACGGUCCAAACUCCUACGGGAGGCAGCAGGC
rnacentral:rRNA from 1 species